GGUGCAGGCUACAAGAGCGGUACAAGCACCUUCAGGUCGUGAUACAAGUUCUUCUUGGGGCCUCUCCAGCGACAGAAAGCCCAGCUUACUCCGCUGUUGAAAAAUGAGGUGUAGGUGAGGCAAUGCCUCAUUGCAGUAAGGAUAGUUUUUCACAGGAAUCCUUCCUGGAAUUUCAUCUGUGGAAAAUCCACUUGGAGAGCUUACAACCUACUGACGAGCAGGGAUAAAGACAAAACACUCGUUUACCAAGUCCGAGGUAUGGUCGUUCAUUUUAAUUUCCUGGCCUGUGGUUGUUUUCAUAAUCUUGGCCAUUAUCCGCCUCAAAUUCCCUCCGGAACCACAGCCAAACUGUUAUCUUGCACCUCGAAACCUUCCUAGUGCAGGCUUCUUCCCAUUCCUGCAAACCGUGC
rnacentral:lncRNA from 1 species